rnacentral:rRNA from 1 species
UACGUAGGGUGCAAGCGUUAAUCGGAAUUACUGGGCGUAAAGCGUGCGCAGGCGGUUGUGCAAGACAGAUGUGAAAUCCCCGGGCUCAACCUGGGGAAUUGCAUUUGUGACUGCACGGCUAGAGUGUGUCAGAGGGGGGUAGAAUUCCACGUGUGAGCAGUGAAAUGCGUAGAGAUGAUGGAGGAAUACCGAUGGCGAAGGCAGCCCCCUGGGAUAACACUGACGCCUCAUGCACGAAAGCGUGGGGAGCAAACAGG